rnacentral:lncRNA from 1 species
AUAGUACUCCAGCAAAAGCAGCUGAACUUGUAACAGUCACCAGCUGGCACACAUUGAAAUAGCUCAGCCUCAUUCUCCAGCUGAGAUCCAGCACAGCUGAUCUUGGUGUAGGGCAUAAAUCUGCAUAGAGCUCACAUGUGGCCCUUCUAUGCUGGGGGUAGAUGUACUCGAUCCUCUGGGCUUGGGAAGGUCUUGGCAAAUGUGGAUUUUUCUCCUUUUGCAGAGGCUUUUGGAGGUUCUGAAAAACCAGACAACAUCAGCUGCUGCACCUUUUGCCCCCUACAGGACACAGACACUGUCCAGGGCAAAGUGCAGCUGGAGCCUAGAGAAGGAUGCGCCUUCACCAGGGCAUUUACCAGCGCUGCUCAGAGCUUCAGCAAGACGGAAAAGCCCCCUGCAAAGCAAACCAAGGGCUGCCGUGGAGAAGAGAGAAGCAGGAAAGGUGAAGUCUUUCUGUUUCUGCUAGGCUCUUCUCGCCUUAGCUUGCAAGCAAGGGCUUUGGGUGUCAUGGUGAAGGAAAUGGUUCUUCUGCUGCAGAUAUGA